rfam:Sarcophilus harrisii ctg7180002460322, whole genome shotgun sequence.
GGUUUGUAGGCAGUGUAGUUAGCUGAUUGUAUUCUACUGCCUACAAUCACUAACUCCACUGCCAUCAAAAC